AAGCUUUGUGCUGGAUCCCUGGGACAGGAGCUAUCUGCCAGGUGACGGCCGCAGGACAGGCCGGCACACACAGAGCGCGCAGAAAAGGAAGACGCUACACAGAUACCUCUAGAAGGGUUACCACUUCCAGGGGGUGGGAGAAUAAAGCCUGGGGAAGUGGGAGACUGUGCAGGGGGUGACCAGCUCGUCUCACUUUGCCCGGGAUGCUCCUGGUUCCGGCACCAAAGCCUUACGUCUGUCCCAUAUUUGCAUGUCUCUGGGGUCAGGCUGGGGGCUGUCCAGCAUUACUGCCACGUAUUAAUUUCAAAGAAGCAUUUGUGCACCAAAGUACCCAGAGAAAUGCACAAACCCUAAAAAACAACAUGAAACAGGACGCGCAGAGGGGAGCCAGACGCACCCAGGCAGGAGACAGCAUUUUCAAGCAGCUGAGCAUCCGACCGCGGCCAACAACCCAGGGGGCAGACCUGCUGUGGAGAGACGAGGAAGACCAAACACAGACUCAGGCAUAUGCGGAGACUGUGUGGGGAGCAGAGGGGGUUUCCCAAGGCAGUGGGGUAAGCAGGGACCUUUUUUUUAGACGGGGUCUCACUCUUGUCACCCAGGCUGGAGGGCAGUGGCACGAUCUCAGCUCACUACAACCUCCACCUCCCAGGUUCAAGUGAUUCUCCUAACUCAGCCUCCCAAGUAGCUGGGAUUACAGGCGCCCACCACCAUGCCCAGCUAAUUUUUGUAUUUUUAGUAGAGACGGGGUUUCACCAU
rnacentral:lncRNA from 1 species